ACUGGGAGUGGCUUACUCUCUGCUGGCCUGUGCCCUGUGGCCCAUGGUGGCCUUUGUAGUUCCAGAACAUCAGCUGGGAACUGCUUAUGGCUUCAUGCAGUCUAUCCAGAAUCUGGGUCUGGCAAUCAUUGCCAUAGCAGCUGGCAUGAUACUGGACACAAGAGGAUAUCUGUUUCUUGAAGUGUUCUUCAGUGCUUGUGUCUGCUUGUCGCUAAUAGCUGUAGUGAUGCUGUAUUUUGUGAAUCAUCUCAUAGG